GUUUAAACUGCUACAAGAAGUCUGGUGAAAUUCUUAGGUCACUCAUGCCCCGACUGGAAAAGUAACCAAUGCUUUGGACAACAUCAUCAAUGCAGCUGACAUCGUAACUUCAAAACAUUCAAUGAACGUUUCCCGAAGCUUCCACCAAAAUGCAGUUUGCACUGACUAUCGCCAUGGACUCCAGUCCUCAUGCAGGCGUGGAAGCCCUUGUGCCUUGCUGCUUGCUUCUUGUCAAGUCCACAACAAUGUGAGUUUAGUUUUUGAUUCGGAGAGAAACUUCCCUCUGGUGUUCCAGCUGCCUGGGCGUGCAGAUUGUCAGAUCUCCAAGUAUCCCUAUUGAGUACUACUUCUUUGUGACCAAAAUGCCUGGUUCUGUUUCCUUCAGACUCUGCCAGAUGAAUCCUGUUUCAUAUGCCCAGACUUCAAAAUUCUAAAACAACCGACCUGUGCUAGAACCUUUCAACAGAUGGUCCAACUUAUUUUACAGAAACAACACCAACGAAAGUCCUAGAAAGACUAUUAAUGAGAUCCUGCUUCAUCUCUCUCAGGAGUUUUAUACUUGUCUCUUAGCUGUUUAGGAA